rnacentral:rRNA from 1 species
UGUGAACCUGCGGAGGGAUCAUUACUGAGU